rnacentral:rRNA from 1 species
UUUGAAAUCCGGCCCCCUCGGGGCCCGAGUUGUAAUCUGCAGAUGGGUCUUCCGGUUAGGCGCACGCCCGAGUUCCCUGGAAUGGGACGCCGCAGAGGGUGAGAGCCCCGUACUGGCGGCGCGCCGAGCCACCACGAUGCCCAUUCGACGAGUCGAGUAGUUUGGAAAUGCUGCUCCAAUCGCGGGGUAAAUCUCCCGUAAGGCUAAAUACCGGCCGGAGACCGAUAGCGAACAAGUAGCGUGAGCGAAAGAUGAAAAGAGCCUUGGAUAAGGGCGUCAAAAAGCAUGUGAAAUUGCUAUGGGGGAAGCGCUCGUCGCCAGACUCGGCGGCGGCCGGUUACCCGGCGUUCUCGCCGGCGCACUCGGACCGCCGCCGGGCCAGUACCGGCUGGCCGCCCGGCUCACUGCCGCGGGGAACGUGACUCCCUCCGGGGAGUGUUAUAGCCCCGCGGCGACGCCGGCCGGCCGGCCGAGGACCGCGCGCAAGCGAGGGUACUGGCAUAAUGGCGCCCAGCGACCCGUCUUGAAACACGGACCAAGGAGUUGACCUGCCCUGCGAGUGUACGGGUGCAAAGCCCCUGCGCGCAGUGAAAGCGAACGCUGGUGGGAGCCCUCGGGCGCACCAUCGACCGAUCCUGAAUUUCGCGGAUGGAUUUGAGUAGGAGCGGGGCGGUUCUGACCCGAAAGAAGGUGAACUAUGCAUGAAUAGGGUGAAGCCAGAGGAAACUCUGGUGGAGGCUCGCAGCGGUUCUGACGUGCAAAUCGAUCGUCAAAUUUGUGCAUGGGGGCGAAAGACCAAUCGAACCUUCUAGUAGCUGGUUCCUGCCGAAGUUUCCCUCAAUAGCAGAGUCGGGGCCUCAGUCUCAUGAGGUAAAGCGAAUGAUUAGAGACCCGGGGGCGCUAUUUUGCCUUCAUCUAUUCUCAAACUUUAAAUAUGUGAGAAGCCUCGUGUUACUUAGCUGAACGCAGGCGGCCGGAUGAACCGACUCUAGUGGGCCAUUUUUGGUAAGCAGAACUGGCGAUGCGGGAUGAACCGUACGGGGACUUAAGGCGCCGGAGUGGGCGCUCAUGAGACACCACAAAAGGUGUUAGCACAUCUAGACAGCAGGACGGUGGCCAUGGAAGUCGGAAUCCGCUAAGGACU